UACGGAGGAUGCAAGCGUUAUCCGGAAUGAUUGGGCGUAAAGCGUCCGUAGGUGGCUAUUCAAGUCUGCUGUUAAAGCGCAGGGCUUAACCCUGUAAAGGCGGUGGAAACUGGAGAGCUAGAGUGUGGUAGGGGUAGAGGGAAUUCCCGGUGUAGCGGUGAAAUGCGUAGAGAUCGGGAAGAACACCAGUGGCGAAAGCGGCAUCCUGGCCCUGUCCUGACGCUCAGGGGCGAAAGCGUGGGGAGCAAACCGG
rnacentral:rRNA from 1 species